GUACGUAGCAGAGCAGCUCCCUCGCU
rnacentral:piRNA from 5 species